CAACCCUUAAGCCCCCGUUGCUUAGCGUUGGGAGCCUACGGCAGCGUAGCUCCCCAAAGUUAGUGGCGUGGUCGGUUCACACUCCAGACGUAGUACUUUUUCACCUCGCCUGUAGCUGGACCGGUCCCCUGCCGUAAAACACCCCAAUUUCUAAA
rnacentral:misc_RNA from 1 species